GGCGCCGUGGAGCGGUUCUGACCUGCCAAGAAAAACAAGGUCUGGGAAUCAAUUAGAAGCAAGAUCGUUUUGGCAGCUUCUGUGGUCUAUAGGUAAUACUCUUGCAGUGCAGGAGACCUGAUUUCCAUUUCUGGUCCCAAUUUCACAUUCAGUAAAGUAAUGUCUAUCUCUCUUAAGCCCUGUGUACUCUAGGGAAUUGUUACAAAAACUUCCCACCCAUUUACCUAGCUUUCUCAUUCUGGCCGCUGUUUUCAGCACUAGGUGGAAGGGACUGUCUUUAAAUGCUUUGGGCAGCACUACUCACUUCAAUGGUGUGACAUACAAAUGUUACAAAAUAAUACUACCUUAGAGGUUGGAAAUGCUCUUGAGGGCAAGAGGCUUUCCCCUCUGAAGGGUAGGAGAACCUCAUGUUGCUCACCAUUGACCACUUGAGCUGACUAAGGAGUGACACAAUCUAGAUUAAAAAGAAAAGGAGUACUUGUGGCACCUUAGAGACUAACCAGUUUAUUUGAGCAUGAGCUUUCGUGAGCUACAGCUCACUUCAUCGGAUGCAUAGCCAUAGGCUUAGUGCUUAGGCUUAGGCUAUGCAUCCGAUGAAGUGAGCUGUAGCUCACGAAAGCUCAUGCUCAAAUAAACUGGUUAGUCUCUAAGGUGCCACAAGUACUCCUUUUCUUUUUACGAAUACAGACUAACACGGCUGUUACUCUGAAACAAUCUAGAUUCUAUCUAGAAAGCAUCAACUAGUUUCUGAGGGAGUUGCAUCCGUUUUUCCACACCAAAGAUGACAGUAGCUGUUGCAUAGAGUUGUGAGGGUGGGAAGUGAAUGGAGAUGGAAAAAAUGGAGAGAUACUCAGGAUUGUGACAGACAUGAAGACCCAGUGGACAAAAAAGGCAGACUUUCUUUCUGUAUUUUUCUUGAAGAUUUGUUCUCUUUGUUUUGGGUUCCCCCUUCCAACAUCUAGGUGUGAUUACUGUAUUUCCUUGCAUCAGAUGAAGUGAGCUGUAGCUCACAAAAGCUUAUGCUCCAAUAAAUUUGUUAGUCUCUAAGAUGCCACAAGUACUUCUUUUCUUUUUGUGAAUACAGACUAACACGGCUGCUACUCCUGUAAUUCCUUACUGGCUGGUGUCUCUGUUUUGCUGACUGAAAGGUUUAGCUUAUCCAGAUUUCACUAAGCCUUUUAUUAGCACUAGACCAGCUCAAUACUUAACUCAUGUUUUCCAGCUUUUUGUUGUUGUCAUAUGAUAGCUUUCCUUGUAGAUCUUAAGAUCUUGCUCAUGACUUAUAAGCACUCCAUGGACUGCAUUCUUUAUAUAUUUGUGUUCAGAGGUUGGAAAGAGUUGCUGCUGGCUGAUGCAUUACACUAGAACUUCUGUGGUUACCUCAUUGGUUUCUGCAGAAUUUAAACUUUCACUUUAAAAAUGUCUAGUCUUUGUAAUCUCAAAGAAAAUAUUCCAAAUUUGAACUGAGGCAGUACUAUCUGUCUGAGUCUUCAGACAGAACAGCUUUGAGAGAUGUCAGCUAUAGCCCUUUGUCUUGAUAUCUUAAUGCUGAAACCUAAUUUUGACACAUUUUUUUAUCAAUGUUGUUAACUGUUUCACUGCUAAUGAUUUCAGCAGAAACAUCCAGCUAGUCUGGGGUUGUUGACAAAAGUUUGGGAUUGCAGGAAGAGAUUAGUGGAAGGUCACCACUUUUAUUUUUCCAAUCUGACCCAUUUGAGCCUUUUUAGCCAUUUAGUCUCUGUCUUGGCAUCUUGUAAGUAGGAGUUAUCUGUUCCACUGUUUAAAAUUAACCUCUUUGAAGAGAUGAUUUUCUCUUCACAUGCUUUCUCAUCUAUGGAGUAUGUUGCCUUCUGUUGUCAGGAACUCUGAAUACUUCACUGUAUUCCAAUCAUACGGUUUUCUAAACAGGGGUUAAGAGAGUUAACAAACAAUCAGUCUUGUUCGGGGAGGGGGCGGGGGGGAAGAUUUAAAAUUUUAAACUCCUCAUGUAAAUAGCACUGGAUAAGCUUUUAUAUUUCUAUUGUAUUUUAAAAUAUGAACCAACUGCAUGCACAUGUGAACACAGAUACACGUGUUGUUAGUAUUAUCUCAUAAAAUUUUGUUUUCACAUUUUCAAUAUACUCGCCAAACAAAAGCACAAGCUGAGUCUCUGUAAUGAAUGUGCUACUCAGUUCUGCUUGUGACUGCACAUCUAAUAGCUAUGGUUUAUACAGAAUGUUUGAUCUUGAAAGAAUCCAAACAAUUUUAGAUUGUAUAUUAUAUUUUAUAUAUAACCAUUUCCCCACAGUGCUAUUGAAAAGUAGCUGUUUUGAGGAUGGAAUAUGACAGCCAUAUUAGACCAACAACAUUGCAUAAUUGAUUUUAGGAGGGGAAAUGAAGAACAAUCCCUCAUUUCAGCCUUUGGGGCGCAUUUUAGGCAGCUGCAUUGAACCGGUCAACAAAUAUUGGAACAGAUUAUUUGGGUAUGGUCUGUGCUACAAAGGGUGAACGCUUUAUAAAAGGUGUAAUUGCAUGAAAAACUGUGAGUGCAUACAGGAAGCUGCUAUUCCAGCAGUGUAUUGCUUUGACUCCUGCUUGGAUGCCACAAAACAUUCUUGAGAGAUGGAGGAAAACAAAGGGCAGAGUGCUGGAGCCACCAGAACCCAACUCACUGCUGUAGGUGACCUGAGGAGAAGCUGGCAGAGCUGGGCAGAAGAUCACAUUGAUUAUCAGAGACAAAAUCCAUUCAGCAAUGAUAGCAAGCCUGUGCAUCCCCAGAGAGGAGAUCCCAUCUAUGGAAGACCGCCUGAAGGGUCUAAAACAGAGCAAAGAGGGAAAGAUGCUCACACACAUGUGGGAAAGGAAGUGGAAGAGCUAUGCUUGAUCAUGAGAAAUAUUGGUGAGAAAGGAGAAGAUGGAAAUGUAAGAGUGACAUUCCGACAACUGUUUGAAACAUAUGUGACUAUUUCCAAUAAAGUAGUGGGGAUCCUGCUGAGAGCAAGAAAAUAUGGGCUGGUUCAGUUUGAAGGUGAAAUGCUUUGGCAAGGAAAAGAUGACAAUGUCAUCAUCACCUUACUUGAAUAAUACUGAUGAAUGUUUCCAUUUAGGAAAAUAAACCAUCUAAGUGUCAGCUUGAUAAAGGUUUAUACAGCACAGGGGUGGAAUGGAAAACCAAUGAAGAGGAUGAAAAAUAUUUUCAUGGAAUCCUAGAAGUUGGAGAUAGAAAUGAUGUAAUGGGUCAGCUAAUCUAUCCCUGUGCCCUUUUCCUCCACAGCUUGGACUUGUCUACUUCUAAGUGUCUCAUACGAGAGGGCUUCUCUUACAGCUCUGCAUAACUGAAGUUAAAAUUACUACCAGUCUGCACUGGGUCUUGUAGCAGUGAGUUUAGAAAUAAGCAGAGUAAAAUCCAUCACAGAAUGUGGUAUCUUGCUAAUGAACCACAGUUAAAUGCUUGGAGAUGAAUUAAUAAACUUCAGUUUCAUUAAAAAAAAAAAAAAAAAAAAGCUGUACCUAUGGUACAACUUUAUUUUCACAUAUUGAAAUUGUAAUAAAAUACAUGCAAAUUAGCCUUAACUUCACCAGGUACUUGAAAAAUUCAAAACCUACCAACUUAAUGAAAUACUCCUUAUUUAAAUAUUCUGCAAGUCCAGCAAGAGCAUUUGGUGAUUUCACAAGUUAUGUGUUCCACUUUAUGUAUUUUUUGGAAGCCAAAUUUUUUUGAUGUGGUGGAAAAAUGUCUUUGCUAUCUUUCCCACUAUCCUUUUAAGUGUCUCUAUGCUUCAUUUAUUUUCAUUUUUUGUGUGUGUGUCUGUUCUGUUCUCCUCGAACUUACUUCUUUCCCAAGAGGUUUACAGGGCAGUCUCUUCUAUGCCCUUUCCAGGAAACCUGGAAGUGCCCUUGUAAAGUGCCAAAUUUUGUAAAGGGGAUUCUAUCUAGCCCGCCUCACAAGGAAGGCUGCCACAUAACACAGGGCCUUGGAGGGCAGAAAAUGUAAACUAGGCUAAUGCUCAUGGCACUGAAUAAAGAGGAUGAUUCCCUUGAAACAAAAUAUAGCAAUGUUGUGCAACUUUUGGAAGGAAGAGCCCUGGGGGAGAGGAGAUGACAGACAGUAGAGUGCCAAAUAGACAGCUAAUUAUGCAACACAUAAUCAUAUACCUCAUUUGGCAGAUGCUGAAAGACAGUGAUUUAAAUUCUAUGCACGUUCAGAAUUCUUCAAAAAAGGGAGAAAGAAUGGUCUUGUGGUUAAAGAAUGGGAGCUAAUAGAUACAGAUUCUACUUUUGGUUCUGCUAUGGAGUUCCUGGACUUUUUUACACUAGAAAAAUUAGAAUCUGUAAUUCAAAUUGAUGCAUCAGUACCACUGGAACCUGUAAUAUACUCAGGAGCCCUGUUUACACUACACUUUCCAUCAAUCCAUUUUUGACACGGUAGAUUCAACUUCUUGUGUGAUAUUGACCAAGUGUCUUAAUGGGUCUGGUGCCUCAGCUUCUCCAUCUGUUAAAUGAAGACUAUUCCCCUGCUUCAGAGGGAUGUAGAGGAUUAAUUGAGUGCUCUGAUAGACUCUGAAGGAACUUGAUAAGUCCAAACCAUUACCAUGCUAUUAGAGAGUCAAAAAAUGUCAAAGCCUGUGAAAAUUUUUAAAGGAAAUGAAAAUUUGUCAGAAAGCUUUCAAAAUGGAAAUUUUGAAACAAAACUUCAUUUCAAUUUGAGUUGAUGUGAAGUUUGGUUUUCAAUUUUCAUUCCCCCUACCCUCUUCUCUUCUUUUACUACUGGAAGAGGAGAGAGAAAAAGAAAAUUGAAAAUUUUCAGUUGAAACAAUUUCUUGUUUUGAUGAAAAUCAAACUUCAAACAAUACAGAAAGCUUGAACAUUUUCAUAUUUAAACAGCCAUUGAUCAAAACUUGUGCUUCUCAUAGCUGUAAUAGUGCAUGUGUAUUGUAUGAAGAUGGACACAUAGUAGAAUCAAGUUUUUUAAAAUACAUUUACAGCUAGCAUGCUUAGUUUUAAAUGCCAUAAUCCCAUUGAUUUCUCAUUAAAGUAGUGGAUUAUUCCUCCUAGGAAGUGUUUUUUAGGUAGGACAAGCCCUGAUGGGUGACCCGUGGUACAGAUCAGCAUUGUUGGGGAAAAGCAAGGAACCACUUAGAAGUGCUCCAGUGCUCCAGCCCCAUUGGGAUAGCAUAUAGAGGCCAGUUAAGCCCCAAUGAAAUGAGUCAGGAAAGGCUAGUCUUGUGGAGAUAAAGCACAAUUGGCUGGUCCUAUCAUACAUAGGUUACUAGACAAAACUUAGUGAGACGGUCACCAGGGAUUCUAAGUGCAAUAAGAUGUUUCCUGUUCACAAGUUAUGCACACAAGUCCCUUAAAGACUAGUUGAAAUCCUUCUGAGUGAUAGUGGUGGAUAGCUAAGCAUGUAAGAAUCACCAUACUGGAUCAGACCAUAGCUCUGAGUUCACUAGCCUGCAGGGGUGUGCGCAAGGGUGGGCAAGCCCCCCCAAUCAACUGAGGCACAGAACUCAGAGGCCAGGCCAGGGAGAGUAAGCUCCUGGGCUGGAGAUGACAACUCCUCCAGCCUGAGGGCACAGAAAGUGCCCUGCCAGAAGUGGACACAUUUUUAUUCCCAUACAUGCUCCUGCUAGCUUGCUUUCAGCAAUGGUUAAUACCUUAAAAGACGCUUGAAAGAAUGGGGUUGGCCAAGUUGUUCUCUAAUAUACAGUGAGUGAAAAAUAAAAUCCUGAGCUUGUCAGGAAAGCAUUAAGUAUAGUGGGUAGAGCAUGAGACUGGGAUGCAGACCUGGUGUCUAAUCCCAGAUCUGAUAUUCACUAGCUGUAUGUAUGAUGCAGACCAAAUACUUAAUCUUUCUUGCCUUAGGUACCCCAGCAUAGCAUGGGAUAACUCACCUUUGAAAAGCACUACAUAACUGUACAGAAUUCAUUAUGAUCAGCUAAAUUGAUUACAACCACCACUGCCACUCAUAAGAGAGCAUGUGGAAUACAUUAUAGUUUACCAGGAAAAUUUUUACAAUUUAUUUUUAUUGGGUUGGGUUCUGUUUUUUGAUAUUUUAAAUUGCCACACAUUCGGUAGCAAACCUUGUUUUUGAUCAUUUAAAAUUCCUACUUUCGCUCUGCCAAAUCACUUUCUUUUCUUCCUUCAAAUCCCUCCUAAAAGAUUCACUUUUUCUGGUUUCCCCACAAGUAGUGAAUAACUUAACAUAAGCUACCAAAAGAAAAACAAACAAACAAAUAUAUUCCUUCAUUUGUCUUCCAGUUGUGACCUGUCCACUCUGUGACUAUUCAGCUGAGAGUGUAAGUUCUUUAGGACAGGCUUUAUCUUGUGAAGCUUUGAGCACAGUGCCAGCAGUUUAAUAAAGGUCAUCAUGCAACAGUU